rnacentral:rRNA from 1 species
GAGUUUGAUCCUGGCUCAGAUUGAACGCUGGCGGCAGGCCUAACACAUGCAAGUCGAGCGGUAGAGAGAAGCUUGCUUCUCUUGAGAGCGGCGGACGGGUGAGUAAUGCCUAGGAAUCUGCCUGGUAGUGGGGGAUAACGCUCGGAAACGGACGCUAAUACCGCAUACGUCCUACGGGAGAAAGCAGGGGACCUUCGGGCCUUGCGCUAUCAGAUGAGCCUAGGUCGGAUUAGCUAGUUGGUGAGGUAAUGGCUCACCAAGGCGACGAUCCGUAACUGGUCUGAGAGGAUGAUCAGUCACACUGGAACUGAGACACGGUCCAGACUCCUACGGGAGGCAGCAGUGGGGAAUAUUGGACAAUGGGCGAAAGCCUGAUCCAGCCAUGCCGCGUGUGUGAAGAAGGUCUUCGGAUUGUAAAGCACUUUAAGUUGGGAGGAAGGGCAGUAAAUUAAUACUUUGCUGUUUUGACGUUACCGACAGAAUAAGCACCGGCUAACUCUGUGCCAGCCGCCGG